rnacentral:rRNA from 1 species
GAUGAACGCUGGCGGCGUGCCUAAUACAUGCAAGUCGAGCGAACGGACGAGAAGCUUGCUUUUCUGAUGUUAGCGGCGGACGGGUGAGUAACACGUGGAUAACCUACCUAUAAGACUUGGAUAACUUCGGGAAACCGGAGCUAAUACCGGAUAAUAUUUUGAACCGCAUGGUUCAAAAGUGAAAGACGGUCUUGCUGUCACUUAUAGAUGGAUCCGCGCUGCAUUAGCUAGUUGGUAAGGUAACGGCUUACCAAGGCAACGAUGCAUAGCCGACCUGAGAGGGUGAUCGGCCACACUGGAACUGAGACACGGUCCAGAAUCCUACGGGAGGCAGCAGUAGGGAAUCUUCCGCAAUGGGCGAAAGCCUGACGGAGCAACGCCGCGUGAGUGAUGAAGGUCUUCGGAUCGUAAAACACUGUUAAUAGGGAAGAACAUAUGUGUAAGUAACUGUGCACAUCUUGACGGUACCUAAUCAGAAAGCCACGGCUAACUACGUG